rnacentral:rRNA from 1 species
CCUACGGGAGGCAGCAGUGGGGAAUAUUGCACAAUGGGGGAAACCCUGAUGCAGCGACGCCGCGUGAGUGAAGAAGUAUUUCGGUAUGUAAAGCUCUAUCAGCAGGGAAGAAAAUGACGGUACCUGACUAAGAAGCCCCGGCUAACUACGUGCCAGUAGCCGCGGUAAUACGUAGGGGGCAAGCGUUAUCCGGAUUUACUGGGUGUAAAGGGAGCGUAGGCGGCAAGGUAAGCCAGAAGUGAAAGCCCGCGGCUCAACUGCGGGACUGCUUUUGGAACUAUCUAGCUAGAGUGCAGGAGAGGUAAGUGGAAGUCCUAGUGUAGCGGUGAAAUGCGUAGAUAUUAGGAGGAACACCAGUGGCGAAGGCGACUUACUGGACUGUAAAUGACGCUGAGGCUCGAAAGCGUGGGGAGCAAACAGGAUUAGAUACCCGGGUAGUC